GCCGGACCUUUUGCUGUGGGAGGACGGAGGGAGCGCCGCAGCCCUGCUGCACUCGCAACCCAAGAAAUCUGGACCCUGGAGAUCUUUCCUCAGUGACGUGGCUGUUUGGACACAGCCUUCUCCUCCUUCUGCUGCAAUAGCAAUGCUAGUGUCCCCAUGCAGCUGCAGUGAGGAGCUCUUGGCUUGGGCAGGAGCAAACCCUGGGCUCGGCGUAGCCGCGCCGGUGGCUAUGGAGUGAUCUGUGCUCUGGGUGCGUGGGCACAGCGGGGAGGCUGAAGCUGGCUGC
rnacentral:lncRNA from 1 species